rnacentral:rRNA from 1 species
AGCAGCCGCGGUAAUUCCAGCUCCAAUAGCGUAUAUUAAAGUUGUUGCAGUUAAAAAGCUCGUAGUUGAACUUCGGGAUUUGCCCAUUGGUCAGGCUUAACUGUCUGCACUGGUGUGACGAGUUCCUACCUUCUGAGGAGUCUCCAUGUCAUUCAGUUGGUGUGGGGGGAAAUCAGGACUGUUACUUUGAAAAAAUUAGAGUGUUUAAAGCAGGCAUCCGUCUGAAUACAUUAGCAUGGAAUAAUAAAAUAGGACGGUUUGGUUCUAUUUUGUUGGUUUCUAGGAUCACCGUAAUGAUUAAUAGGGAUAGUUGGGGGCAUUAGUAUUCAAUUGUCAGAGGUGAAAUUCUUGGAUUUAUUGAAGACUAACUACUGCGAAAGCAUUUGCCAAGGAUGUUUUCAUUAAUCAAGAACGAAAGUUAGGGGAUCGAAGACGAUCAGAUACCGUCGUAGUCUUAACCAUAAACUAUGCCGACUAGGGAUCGGACGAAGUUAAUUUUUAAUGACUCGUUCGGCACCUU